CGUUCUCCUCUGAUCUCGGAAGUCAAGCAAUUUCCGGCUUGGUUAGUACUUGGAUGGGUGACCGCUUGGGAAUACCAAGUGUGAUAAGCA
rnacentral:rRNA from 1 species